rnacentral:lncRNA from 1 species
GGCACUGCCAUAAUUUUGUAUUGAUUGCCAUUCACCCCAAUUGCCUGCAGGUUCGCACCCACCCGCUUUCGAUAUUCCUGCAAGCAGACCAUCUCUCUUUUUUUCCAUUUGAAAAGCCAUGUGGGAAUCCUCAGCUCACCUCACUUAAAUCUCUGGUGUUUUCCCUGUAAAACUGGGAGGGCUGCUCUGAACCCUUCCCCACUCCCCUGGUUGCCACUGGUCUGUUGAGAAAUGAGGUUCUGCCUUAUUCUACCUGUGGCCUAUUCCUGCCCCAGAGCUUACAUUGAAUGAAUACCUGCCUGCCUCAGGAUGAGGCCUGAACUACCCUUUGCUUGUUUCCAAAGGCGGGGAAGCUGGCUGUGGAACGAGGCUGGGCCAUCAAUGUUGGUGGUGGCUUCCACCACUGCUCCAGUGACCGUGGUGGGGGCUUCUGUGCCUAUGCAGACAUCACACUGGCUAUCAAG